rnacentral:lncRNA from 1 species
CUAAGAAAUGGCAAGUCGCAAAACUUGCAGAGGGUGUAUAAGAGAUUCAAAAUGCAGAAUACACCUCUUAUGUCUCCUUUGGUUGCUACAAGUGUCGCUUUAAGGACUACCAGUGACGCAUCUACAUUUAUUAUAUAGAGAAUGCAGAGACCUAAUAUCUCCUAAUCAUCACUUUGUCUUAAUGAUUACAUAGAUUAGAAGUUUCAUCUUUUAGACUUUAUGUAAACUAUGCGUAAACUGCAGACUGCAUGAUCAUUUUUUUUAUUAACAGCUAGAGCUUGAUCACCACUUUUAAUUGGAAUCUGGAUGCACAGGCCAUCUUCGACCGUGUAGUACACAAAUCCCUACAGUGCUAGCGGCAACAUCUGCAGAGGCUCUGGGCGAGGAGGUGGUGGACGACAAGCCUCUCUAACUAGUCGUCGUUAGGUUCUGUGAUGGCCAUGCAUUGGAUGCUCUUAUCAAAAGUGCUUGUUGCUAUAUGAUGGGUGAUGAUUAAACUUAAAAAUUUUUGUUUGCAAUUUGGGUUUUAGAAAAGAGAAAGAGAACUUUUGGGAAUUAAUAAGAGAAGAACAAAAGGAUAAU